AGCAAACGCUUGACGAUGGGCGGCGUGAAGGGCAAGAUCGACAUGGUUCGAGCCGGCAAAGGAGCUUUAGAAUAACCCACAGCUUCAGUAAAGGUGACCAUGUAACUGUUGGAUUGGUGUAAAAAAUAGAAUUGGUUCACUCAUGACCUGGAGAUUCCAAGCCAAUGUUGGAGGAUUGGGAAGCUCUGUUAUAUGGUUCCUCCAUCUUCAUGUGAAUUGGGCCUUUGACAAGGAGGCAAGGGCUCAUAACACCCAAGAAAGGGUUCUGACAUGAGGAGGAGUACCCUGUCUCCACAUAGUGACUGCCAUGGAGAAUUCUAUGGAGUGGUUCAUUGUGUAUUGUUCCUCGCCUUCACCCAGCUCUCACCUGCAGCUCCAAAUAUUUGUUCGCAUGUGACAGUGGCCACACCCUGGUAAACUGCUUCAGGUGGGUGGCAGUCGAGUAUCCUACCCAAUACAAGACGAUUUGGCUACACUGGCAUGUGAAGACUGAUUCUGGCAGACUGGGUGGAUGAGACCAAUCUAAGGUCCAAAGUUCCUGAAAACGGGUCAGCACUGUGUUGCAGAAUGCGUAGAGCUCAACAAGACACAGAAAAGGUCCUGCUCACCCACAGUGUCCAGAUCUAUCUCCAGUCAUUUAGACUCCUCUUGCUACUGGAUCAAGAUAGCUCAAUUUAGUAAUUAUAGAUUUGAUAAACAUGGGACUGUAGAUUUAAGAAUGAUCCUGUGCUGUAAGAUUACAUGAUCUGUGUAAACCAAUUGAUUAGCAGCACGGGGAUCCCCUAGGAGGUGUUCUUCUCUUAUAGCGUUUGAUGCACAAAUGUAGUUGCUGCUGCUGUCUUGUGAAUAAAGUUAAAUCUGUCCACCAAGAAAAGCCCAUAAAAUCACAGGGGGAGGAAAAGAGGAGAGUGAUUCUCUUGAGUAUUUGUGGGAGCAAGA